rnacentral:piRNA from 1 species
UGCAGGCAGAGUGUUUGUGAUUUAUGC